UACAGGAAUAGGAACCUUCUGAUUCAACCUCUUGCCCACUUCACCUCUCUGGCAAAUAUGGUUUGUCCUCCAGACAGAGUGUGCUUUCUCUUGUGCUAGAAAAUGAACCAGAUUUCCCCCUUUCAGUUACGUCUAUCUGAUCGUUCUCAGGCUCUGUGCAGUGAUGAUAUUAUCAAAACAAAUCAGAAGGGAAAACUCUUA
rnacentral:lncRNA from 1 species